rnacentral:rRNA from 1 species
CACGAACGCUGGCGGCAGGCUUAACACAUGCAAGUCGAGCGCCCCGCAAGGGGAGCGGCAGACGGGUGAGUAACGCGUGGGUAACCUGCCUCAUACACAUGGAUAACAUACCGAAAGAUAUGCUAAUACAAGAUGAUAUAAGAGAUUCGCAUGGAUUUCUUAUCAAAGCUUUUGCGGUAUGAGAUGGACCCGCGUCUGAUCAGCUAGUUGGUAAGGUAAUGGCUUACCAAGGCGACGAUCGGUAGCCGACCUGAGAGGGUGAUCGGCCACAUUGGAACUGAGACACGGUCCAAACUCCUACGGGAGGCAGCAGUGGGGAAUAUUGCACAAUGGGCGAAAGCCUGAUGCAGCAACGCCGCGUGAGCGAUGAAGGCCUUCGGGUCGUAAAGCUCUGUCCUCAAGGAAGAUAAUGACGGUACUUGAGGAGGAAGCCCCGGCUAACUACGUGCCAGCCGCCGCCGUAACAC